AUACGGAGGGUCCAAGCGUUAUCCGGAAUCAUUGGGUUUAAAGGGUCCGCAGGCGGUCAAUUAAGUCAGAGGUGAAAGCCCAUCGCUCAACGAUGAAACUGCCUUUGAUACUGGUUGACUUGAGUUAUACGGAAGUAGAUAGAAUAAGUAGUGUAGCGGUGAAAUGCAUAGAUAUUACUUAGAAUACCGAUUGCGAAGGCAGUCUACUACGUAUAUACUGACGCUGAGGGACGAAAGCGUGGGGAGCGAACAGGAUUAGAUACCCCAGUAGUCC
rnacentral:rRNA from 1 species